rnacentral:rRNA from 1 species
GAUGAACGCUAGCGGCAGGCCUAACACAUGCAAGUCGAGGGAGGAGCUUUCGGGCUUCGACCGGCGUACGGGUGCGUAACGCGUAUACAAUCUGCCUUUCACAUAGGGAUAGCCCGAAGAAAUUUGGAUUAAUACCUAAUGGUAUAUAGAGGUGGCAUCACCUUUAUAUUAAAGCUGAGGCGGUGAAAGAUGAGUAUGCGUUCUAUUAGCUAGUUGGAGAGGUAACGGCUCCCCAAGGCGACGAUAGAUAGGGGUUCUGAGAGGGAUAUCCCCCACACUGGUACUGCGAUACGGACCAGACUCCUACGGGAGGCAGCAGUGAGGAAUAUUGGACACUGGUCGGAAGACUGAUCCAGCCAUGCCGCGUGCAGGAAGACGGCCUUAUGGGUUGUAAACUGCUUUUGCAGGGGAAGAAUAAGGACUACGCGUAGUUUGAUGACGGUACUCUGCGAAUAAGCAUCGGCUAACUCCGUG